rnacentral:rRNA from 1 species
AUUGAACGCUGGCGGCAGGCUUAACACAUGCAAGUCGAGCGGGGUGAUGGUGCUUGCACUAUCACUUAGCGGCGGACGGGUGAGUAAUGCUUAGGAAUCUGCCUAUUAGUGGGGGACAACAUCUCGACAGGGAUGCUAAUACCGCAUACGUCCUACGGGAGAAAGCAGGGGAUCACUUGUGACCUUGCGCUAAUAGAUGAGCCUAAGUCGGAUUAGCUAAUUGGUGGGGUAAAGGCCUACCAAGGCGACGAUCUGUAGCGGGUCUGAGAGGAUGAUCCGCCACACUGGGACUGAGACACGGCCCAGACUCCUACGGGAGGCAGCAGUGGGGAAUAUUGGACAAUGGGGGGAACCCUGAUCCAGCCAUGCCGCGUGUGUGAAGAAGGCCUUAUGGUUGUAAAGCACUUUAAGCGAGGAGGAGGCUCUUUUGGUUAAUACCCAAGAUGAGUGGACGUUACUCGCAGAAUAAGCACCGGCUAACUCUGUGCCAGCAGCCGCGGUAA